rnacentral:rRNA from 1 species
AUACGGAGGGUGCAAGCGUUAUUCGGAAUCACUGGGCGUAAAGGACGCGUAGGCGGGUUGGCAAGUCAGAUGUGAAAUCCUACAGCUUAACUGCAGAACUGCAUUUGAAACUGCUAACCUAGAAUAUGGGAGGGGGAGAUGGAAUUAGUGGUGUAGGGGUAAAAUCCGUAGAUAUCACUAGGAAUACCGAAAGCGAAGGCGAUCUCCUGGAACAUAACUGACGCUAAGGCGUGAAAGCGUGGGGAGCAAACAGGAUUAGAUACCCUAGUAGUCC